UAUUCAAGUCAGAGGUGAAAGCACGGGGCUCAACCCCGGAACUGCCUUUGAAACUAGAUAGCUUGAAUCCAGGAGAGGUGAGUGGAAUUCCGAGUGUAGAGGUGAAAUUCGUAGAUAUUCGGAAGAACACCAGUGGCGAAGGCGGCUCACUGGACUGGUAUUGACGCUGAGGUGCGAAAGCGUGGGGAGCAA
rnacentral:rRNA from 1 species